CGUGCUUCUACACCUGCAUUGCUUGCUGUUUGGGGUUUUAGGCUGGGUUUCUGUACAGCACUUUGAGAUAUCAGUUUAUGUAAGAAGGGCAAUAUAAAUACAUUUGAUUUGAUUUGAUUUGAUUAGUAGUAGUGGUAGUAGCAGCGGUAGUGGUAGUGGUAGUAGUGGUAGUGGUGGUAGCAGUAGUAGUAUCAGUAGUGGUAGUACUAGUAGUUGUAGCAGUAGUAGUAGUAGUAGUAGUAGUAGUUGUAGUAGUAGUAGUAGUGGUAGUGGUAGUGGUAGUGUUAGUAGCAGUAGUAGUAUCAGCAGCAGUAGCAGUAGUAGUAUCAGCAGCAGUAGCAGUAGCAGCAGCAGCAGUAGCAGUAGUAGUAGUAGUAGUAGCAUUAGCAGUAGUAGUAGUAGUAGUAGUAGUAUUACUAGUAGUAGUAGUAUUAGUAGUAGUAGUAGUAGUAGCAGUAGUAGUAGCAGCAGUAGUAGUAGUAGUAGCAGUAGCAGUAGUAGUAG
rnacentral:lncRNA from 1 species